GCACUGCACAGCUCUGCAAGGAACGGUUGGGAGAAGCCGUUGGAGCGGAACGUUUAAAAGAGGAAUUGAAAAGAGAGCGAACGCGGCUGUUGGAACUAAGAAUUAAAAUUAUUCUGGCACGAGCAAAAGAACUCCACCACAGUACUGUCCGAAUUCGGGAGCUGGCUGCGGGCACAGUCUCGGAGGAUUGGGACGGGGAUACCUGCAGAGAUUGUGAGGAGAACGGUGCUGAAGAGGUGAAGUUGCUGGAGGAACUGGACGUGUGACCUCUUGUUAACACCGAAAGGCAGAGGGUGCGCACGGCGGGAACCCCCAAACCACGGUCCGCGGGUUCCUGCGCAGACCUGUGCUCAGGGAAUCGUACAUGGAGUUUUCGCGCAAACCGGGCGAAACGGGAACGGGGCAUCUGUGGAGAGCCCCUGACGGGGGAGGUCGGGUACUGCUCAGUGACGAAGAAGGGAGCGGGUUUGGGCGUCCAAGAGUGGUUGUGAGCAACGGACCGGUGGGCGAUCGCCCAGUAACCUCGCGAGUGGCUUCUUGGGCGGGGGGUAGAGCCCAGGAGCGAGGAGCGCGGGUCACUCUGACAGUGGAAGGACUGUCGGAGCUACCGGAGGGGGUACACACUGCUGCUUGCAUCCCAGCAGUGCAUGAGAGAGGACUGCACGGGGUACCGAUGGCCGCGCCGGGAGACCCCGGCCACCUCAGACCCCCCUCAGAGGAUCACCAGAUGCCCUGAGAAAUACCCGUUCAGUCUGUAAUAGGGAGAAUGCCGGCAGCCAUUGGGCACGAUCGGCCCCUCAGAACCGCCCCUGCGCGUUUUGACUCGGGCGGAGACGUGACACAACCUAGGGCAGGAGGAGGGCUGGGCCGUUCCGGAGCGGAGCGCAGGCGGGGGCUGGAGAGAAGUGGUUAGUGCUGUGAUUGGUGUGGUCAUCUGAGAUACCCGUGUGCCUGCAUGCUUCCGCUUCCCCCUGCAACGGCAGCUCAGGGACACGGGGCUGCAGAAGCCGCAGAAGAUCAUCUGUUACAAGAUUAGUGUGCCUUGGAGUCAUGGGCCGUUAUGCAAACAGGGUGGCACAGGAAAGUGCUAUCACCAUCAACAUACAUGAGGCAAUCCAGGGGCUGAUGAAAGUGAUCUUCGAUUCGGAGAUGUUCUGGAAAUAAGAUGGCUCAUGAGUUUUCUUCAGUAAGUCCCAAAUAUCUACAUUUCCAUCGUCUCUGCCAAUGAAGAAAACUCCUGGUCUUGUUAAGGACCAUCGUCCUGCAGUGUAUCUUCCUGAAGAGCAGCUUGACUGAAGGAUUGCUCCAUACUUGAUUUUUUUUAAACAAAUAAAAGAUAAACCUGACAGUAAAACAGUA